AAGCUUGCUGUGGCCGAAAAUGGGAGAAAACUCGCCCAUUUCGGCUAAGUGCCCCUUUUAUAGGUGGCUGGCCAGGCCACGUUCGGGGGCCGAAUGCGCUUCCGCAUCCAUGCAAUGUUCGGCGGCCGAACUUGACUUUCGGCGGCCGAACCUAGACUUCCCUAACUCAUGCUUUCGGGGGCCUAACGUGCCUCCAAAACGCAUGCAUGUUCGGC
rnacentral:lncRNA from 1 species